rnacentral:misc_RNA from 1 species
UGUGUAGGGAGCCACCGUCGAUCGAUAACCGACACCAGCGACCUUCACGCCGGGGUCAGCAGGAUCGGCGCCAACUAGCGGCACCGUUGUCAGCACGCAUCCUCCCAGGGUGACGGCCGCGACGGCCACUCCCNAAGGAUCCCGAAUCUGCAUCUAUUGAAUUGUCCAGCCACCGAAUGAACGGCGGCGAAGUUCGCCCCAAACUGCGCAAGCAUGAUUUUUCCCUGAACUGCCGAUGAAUCACAGGUACACGUGCCNCAUAGGCACACGUGCCCUCAACGGGCGCGGCGCCACGUCAUUCAAGUCAGGAAAUGGGGGG